rnacentral:lncRNA from 1 species
ACAGUGCCGGCUCAAUGCUUAUAAAAAUUAGGCAUAUGCCUUAGGCCCCCAAUUUUAGGGGGCCUCUAAUUUUUACCACGAUAAAUUAUGUGUUAAUUGUUUUUAUAGAAAAAAUUAAUCAUCUAAAGCAAAUGUAUUUUCUUUAAAAAAUAUAUAUUAUUUUAUUCUCCUUAACCUCAAUCAAAUAGAAGAAAUCAAGAAAAAUGUUGUUUUGUCUUCUUACAUUCUCUUCACUAACUCU